GAAACAUCUAAGUACCCCGAGGAAAAGAAAUCAACCGAGAUUCCCCCAGUAGCGGCGAGCGAACGGGGAGCAGCCCAGAGCCUGAAUCAGUGUGUGUGUUAGUGGAAGCGUCUGGAAAGGCGUGCGAUACAGGGUGACAGCCCCGUACACAAAAAUGCACAUACUGUGAGCUCGAUGAGUAGGGCGGGACACGUGGUAUCCUGUCUGAAUAUGGGGGGACCAUCCUCCAAGGCUAAAUACUCCUGACUGACCGAUAGUGAACCAGUACCGUGAGGGAAAGGCGAAAAGAACCCCGGCGAGGGGAGUGAAAAAGAACCUGAAACCGUGUACGUACAAGCAGUGGGAGCACGCUUAGGCGUGUGACUGCGUACCUUUUGUAUAAUGGGUCAGCGACUUAUAUUCUGUAGCAAGGUUAACCGAAUAGGGGAGCCGAAGGGAAACCGAGUCUUAACUGGGCGUUAAGUUGCAGGGUAUAGACCCGAAACCCGGUGAUCUAGCCAUGGGCAGGUUGAAGGUUGGGUAACACUAACUGGAGGACCGAACCGACUAAUGUUGAAAAAUUAGCGGAUGACUUGUGGCUGGGGGUGAAAGGCCAAUCAAACCGGGAGAUAGCUGGUUCUCCCCGAAAGCUAUUUAGGUAGCGCCUCGUGAAUUCAUCUCCGGGGGUAGAGCACUGUUUCGGCAAGGGGGUCAUCCCGACUUACCAACCCGAUGCAAACUGCGAAUACCGGAGAAUGUUAUUACGGGAGACACACGGCGGGUGCUAACGUCCGUCGUGAAGAGGGAAACAACCCAGACCGCCAGCUAAGGUCCCAAAGUCAUGGUUAAGUGGGAAACGAUGUGGGAAGGCCCAGACAGCCAGGAUGUUGGCUUAGAAGCAGCCAUCAUUUAAAGAAAGCGUAAUAGCUCACUGGUCGAGUCGGCCUGCGCGGAAGAUGUAACGGGGCUAAACCAUGCACCGAAGCUGCGGCAGCGACGCUUAUGCGUUGUUGGGUAGGGGAGCGUUCUGUAAGCCUGUGAAGGUGUGCUGUGAGGUAUGCUGGAGGUAUCAGAAGUGCGAAUGCUGACAUAAGUAACGAUAAAGCGGGUGAAAAGCCCGCUCGCCGGAAGACCAAGGGUUCCUGUCCAACGUUAAUCGGGGCAGGGUGAGUCGACCCCUAAGGCGAGGCCGAAAGGCGUAGUCGAUGGGAAACAGGUUAAUAUUCCUGUACUUGGUGUUACUGCGAAGGGGGGACGGAGAAGGCUAUGUUGGCCGGGCGACGGUUGUCCCGGUUUAAGCGUGUAGGCUGGUUUUCCAGGCAAAUCCGGAAAAUCAAGGCCGAGGCGUGAUGACGAGGCACUACGGUGCUGAAGCAACAAAUGCCCUGCUUCCAGGAAAAGCCUCUAAGCAUCAGGUAACAUCAAAUCGUACCCCAAACCGACACAGGUGGUCAGGUAGAGAAUACCAAGGCGCUUGAGAGAACUCGGGUGAAGGAACUAGGCAAAAUGGUGCCGUAACUUCGGGAGAAGGCACGCUGAUACGUAGGUGAAGCGACUUGCUCGUGGAGCUGAAAUCAGUCGAAGAUACCAGCUGGCUGCAACUGUUUAUUAAAAACACAGCACUGUGCAAACACGAAAGUGGACGUAUACGGUGUGACGCCUGCCCGGUGCCGGAAGGUUAAUUGAUGGGGUUAGCGCAAGCGAAGCUCUUGAUCGAAGCCCCGGUAAACGGCGGCCGUAACUAUAACGGUCCUAAGGUAGCGAAAUUCCUUGUCGGGUAAGUUCCGACCUGCACGAAUGGCGUAAUGAUGGCCAGGCUGUCUCCACCCGAGACUCAGUGAAAUUGAACUCGCUGUGAAGAUGCAGUGUACCCGCGGCAAGACGGAAAGACCCCGUGAACCUUUACUAUAGCUUGACACUGAACAUUGAGCCUUGAUGUGUAGGAUAGGUGGGAGGCUUUGAAGUGUGGACGCCAGUCUGCAUGGAGCCGACCUUGAAAUACCACCCUUUAAUGUUUGAUGUUCUAACGUGGACCCGUGAUCCGGGUUGCGGACAGUGUCUGGUGGGUAGUUUGACUGGGGCGGUCUCCUCCUAAAGAGUAACGGAGGAGCACGAAGGUUGGCUAAUCCUGGUCGGACAUCAGGAGGUUAGUGCAAUGGCAUAAGCCAGCUUGACUGCGAGCGUGACGGCGCGAGCAGGUGCGAAAGCAGGUCAUAGUGAUCCGGUGGUUCUGAAUGGAAGGGCCAUCGCUCAACGGAUAAAAGGUACUCCGGGGAUAACAGGCUGAUACCGCCCAAGAGUUCAUAUCGACGGCGGUGUUUGGCACCUCGAUGUCGGCUCAUCACAUCCUGGGGCUGAAGUAGGUCCCAAGGGUAUGGCUGUUCGCCAUUUAAAGUGGUACGCGAGCUGGGUUUAGAACGUCGUGAGACAGUUCGGUCCCUAUCUGCCGUGGGCGCUGGAGAACUGAGGGGGGCUGCUCCUAGUACGAGAGGACCGGAGUGGACGCAUCACUGGUGUUCGGGUUGUCAUGCCAAUGGCACUGCCCGGUAGCUAAAUGCGGAAGAGAUAAGUGCUGAAAGCAUCUAAGCACGAAACUUGCCCCGAGAUGAGUUCUCCCUGACCCUUUAAGGGUCCUGAAGGAACGUUGAAGACGACGACGUUGAUAGGCCGGGUGUGUAAGCGCAGCGAUGCGUUGAGCUAACCGGUACUAAUGAACCGUGAGGCUUAACCUU
rnacentral:rRNA from 1 species